AAAACCGAAAUAACUUCAUGUUAUAUGUUCAUUUGGAAGCUAUUUUAUGCAAAGUACUUGCUGCUACCUUUUUUGAAGUGACAUUAGAAGAAGAAGAAGAAGAAGAAGAAGUCAACACUAUGCUUCUGUUUUUAUUCAGACAAGUUCGUCAAAGUGUUUACCGCAUUUUGGGCCAGUACAUAAGCAGCUGCAUCCCCACUGACUUGCAAAGUCACUAUGUUUUGGUAGAGAUUAGGGUACUUUAUUCUGAAACAUCAACAGUCUUGAAAAGUGUUUCACAUAAGAAAAUAAAUAAUUUUGUGGGCUUGUUAUAAAAGGCUUGUUUGCUUAUGAACAAUGAAGAGACUAGCUUUGUUGUG